rnacentral:rRNA from 1 species
GUAGGUGGCAAGCGUUGUCCGGAAUUAUUGGGCGUAAAGCGCGCGCAGGCGGUUCUUUAAGUCUGAUGUGAAAGCCCACGGCUCAACCGUGGAGGGUCAUUGGAAACUGGAGAACUUGAGUACAGAAGAGGAAAGCGGAAUUCCACGUGUAGCGGUGAAAUGCGUAGAGAUGUGGAGGAACACCAGUGGCGAAGGCGGCUUUCUGGUCUGUAACUGACGCUGAGGCGCGAAAGCGUGGGGAGCAGACAGGAUUAGAUACCCUGGUAGUCCACGCCGUAAACGAUGAGUGCUAAGUGUUAGGGGGGUUUCCGCCCCCCUUAGUGCUGCAGCUAACGCAUUAAGCACUCCGCCUGGGAGUACGGCCGCAAGGCUG